rnacentral:rRNA from 1 species
GGAUUAGAUACCCUGGUAGUCCACGCCGUAAACGAUGAGAACUAGCCGUUGGGACCCUUGAGGUCUUAGUGGCGCAGCUAACGCGAUAAGUUCUCCGCCUGGGGAGUACGGCCGCAAGGUUAAAACUCAAAUGAAUUGACGGGGGCCCGCACAAGCGGUGGAGCAUGUUGUUUAAUUCGAUGCAACGCGAAGAACCUUACCACCCCUUGACAUCCUGCGAACUUUCUAGAGAUAGAUUGGUGCCUUCGGGAACGCAGUGACAGGUGCUGCAUGGCUGUCGUCAGCUCGUGUUG